rnacentral:rRNA from 1 species
UUCCUACGGGAGGCAGCAGUAAGGAAUAUUGGUCAAUGGACGAAAGUCUGAACCAGCCAUGCCGCGUGCAGGAUGACAGCCCUACGGGUUGUAAACUGCUUUUAUACGGGAAGAACCCCCUGUACGUGUACGGGGUUGACGGUACCGUAUGAAUAAGCAUCGGCUAACUACGUGCCAGCAGCCGCGGUAAUACGUAGGGUGCAAGCGUUAAUCGGAAUUGCUGGGCGUAAAGCGUGCGCAGGCGGUUUUGUAAGUCUGUCGUGAAAGCCCCGGGCUCAACCUGGGAAUUGCGAUGGAGACUGCAAGGCUUGAAUCUGGCAGAGGGGGGUAGAAUUCCACGUGUAGCAGUGAAAUGCGUAGAGAUGUGGAGGAACACCGAUGGCGAAGGCAGCCUCCUGGGUCAAGAUUGACGCUCAUGCACGAAAGCGUGGGGAGCAAACAGGAUUAGAUACCCUGGUAGUCCACGCCCUAAACGAUGUCUACUAGUUGUCGGGUUUUAAUUAACUUGGUAACGCAGCUAACGCGUGAAGUAGACCGCCUGGGGAGUACGGUCGCAAGAUUAAAACUCAAAUGAAUUGACGGAA